rnacentral:rRNA from 1 species
GAUGAACGCUGGCGGCGUGCCUAAUACAUGCAAGUCGAGCGAACAGACGAGGAGCUUGCUCCUCUGACGUUAGCGGCGGACGGGUGAGUAACACGUGGAUAACCUACCUAUAAGACUGGGAUAACUUCGGGAAACCGGAGCUAAUACCGGAUAAUAUAUUGAACCGCAUGGUUCAAUAGUGAAAGACGGUUUUGCUGUCACUUAUAGAUGGAUCCGCGCCGCAUUAGCUAGUUGGUAAGGUAACGGCUUACCAAGGCAACGAUGCUUAGCCGACCUGAGAGGGGGAUCGGCCACACUGGAACUGAGAAACGGUCCAGACUCCUACGGGAGGCAGCAGUAGGGAAUCUUCCGCAAUGGGCGAAAGCCUGACGGAGCAACGCCGCGUGAGUGAUGAAGGUCUUCGGAUCGUAAAACUCUGUUAUUAGGGAAGAACAAAUGUGUAAGUAACUAUGCACGUCUUGACGGUACCUAAUCAGAAAGCCACGGCUAACUACGUG